GAGCUAGGUUCCAAGACCUGGGAACAUGAACUCAGUUUUGAUCCAGUUAGCUGAGAUGGCUGGACUCAGAAAACUGUCUCCUAACAGUAGCAAGAGAGCAAUGGGAAGGAUGUAAGAGCCAGGGGACCAUUUGCUGGUCUGCCAAUCAUCUUAGAGUCUCUGCUGAAGAUGCCUGGGCUGGGAAAUCCACUCAGUCAGUGACUGGAAAAGACUGAGAAAUCUUUAUUCUAAAACAUGGUCUGUCCGGGAAGGAUUGAACACCAAGAAAACUGGCAAAUAGCAACAACAGUGAAGAGGAGAUAGGCACCCCAGAUGUGGGGACUGUGCUAGUAACUGUACUUGCGGAAGAAAAACUGGCAAAGGAGGAGAAAGAGACCCUCGAGGACCCUGGCUCUAUCUUACACCUGCUGCCCUUGACCGUGUGGUGACCUUGACCAUGUGGUGACGCCCAAAUGACCACUCUGGAUUCCUAGACCUUGGAACCAGAGCCAAAGAAACCUCUGUGCUUUAUAAAUCACUCAACCAGGAAUACUCAGUUAUAGUAACAGAAAACAAAGCUAAGUCACACGGGAUGUAAGGAGAUGAGCCCAGAUUAGAGAUAAGGCUAAAGAAUUAAUCAGAUGGAAAAAUCACUCCUGUACUUGUUCGUGUUAGAACUGCAUCAUGUUUUUAUACGGGAAAAAAAUGUAUUAAAUACACUCUCUACCUGUUAUACAAUGAUGUAACCUCUCUUUUAGACCCAUGCACGUGCACGUAAGUCUACCCCUAGCCACCUUUCAACCAGACAUUACAGAAUCAGUAGAUAGCUGCUAUUGCUCCAGAAGACAGAUGAUAUUUUUUUAAAGAGGAUUUUAUAUUUUUGGAACGUUUGCUACGGGUUUUUUUC
rnacentral:lncRNA from 1 species